UUCAGUGGGCCGCCGGGCUCAAGGCCUUUCCCCUGGGUUUCUUACCCCCUACCCCCAGGUCAAACAGUAACUGCAGCAUCAAUUUUCUUUUCUUCCUGUUUUUUCUUCAUUUUCGCCGAACACUAAUCAUCUGAUAUGCCUUUUAGUUGAACUGUCUUGUUAAGUUUACGCCCUCUGCAGCUGAGAGGUUCCUGGAACUGCGCAAAACGAUGGAUACAGAAACCACGGUUGCCAUAGCUAAUUGAUGUAAACAAGAGUUAAGUUCUCACGGCAUCUUAUGGCAAAACGAUGUUGAAUGAAACGACGUUAUUUGAAGCCCUGCUUUCGCUCAAGAGAGCUUGGUGACGAGCAAUCUCCCAGGAAGCACGCAGGAGAGAACCUUAAGAUGCACCGAGUGUGAGGACUGUCAGCAGUCACAUGUGACUGCCGAGAAAUCGCAGUAUUGUCCCAGAAUGUCCUCAGCCUGCAGGAGCAGCAGAGACCUUUCCUGUCUCUGGGUCAGGAGGGCCGUCUCUGUUUCCCCGUUCAGCUGGUGGGUGGGCCAGGUUGCCUGCUCUAAAGUUUCUGCCCCAUUGAACAUGACCACCACCCUCCUCCGCUUUACGCACAGUAAGUAUUUUAGGAUUUGUCAGCCAUACUGUCAGGACUAUUCAACUCUGCCAUGGCAGCAUGAAAGGUGUCAGAGAUAAUAUGGACGUGAAUUGGCGUGGCUGUGCUCCAAUAAAAUGUAUUCACCAACACAGGAGGCGGGACAUGGGUGCCCUGGGAACUGGAGUUUGCAGAUCCCUGCACUGGGAUUCCAGACGAAAGGCAUCCCAAGGGCAAGUGAGGGUCACAUGGCUAGUGGACCCUGGAAUACCAAUGCGCACAGAGUGGAUGCCUCCCGUGUUGCAACCUGAGACUGAGAUCCACUCUGAGGAGAGAUCUUCAAGGCGGCCCCACUCCGUGACCCGCCCCGGGUUCUCUGCCUCAGGGACAGAACCUCCCCAAGCCCGGUGAGCUGCUUUCCUGCCUCAUCUCUGUGCCUUUAUCGCCCUGUCAACCGGCAGCUUCCAGGACACCGGGUUCCAGUUCUGGCGUCGGUUCCAAGACCUGGCACCGGUGAGCCCCCACUGCCUCCCUUCCCUCCUCUAAAAUAAGGAGGGAGACUCGGCACCUCCUCUCUUUCAGCUUCGACUCCCUCAAGUCCUACGAGCUGGAAGGCUGUGGCCACAGCAGCCACGGAGCCACCCAGUCUGCUCACGGGUUUCUGUGCGAAGAGCACAGGACAGAGAGUCAGGAGGGCUGGGUUCCAGUCUGAUUCUGUCACUUGCACACUCCGGCUUCUGUGACCUCGUCUUUACACCACACAGGUGGUUCCCGGCCAUCUCCAAGGUCCCUGUGGGCACCAAGAGCCCAUGACCUUGUGACCUGCCAGGCCCUGGGGACCAUUUUCAUCCAGGGAGACAGGACAUGCCACCUACACCAGCCUAACUCUUCUCCGAGCUGAGACUCCCAGGGCUCCUCUCUGUCCCCUUCCAGGGAUCCAUGACAACAUGGUUACAACCAGCUUGUCAAGUGCGGUGACAUCUGCAUCCCUGACAUUCCCAUCUGGAGACGGGCUUUUUAUAGUCGGUGGUGGGAGGAUGCUGCUGCGAAUGCAGCUCCGACGGGAGGAAUUUAGAGCCGCAAACAUGGAGGAACCUGUUGUCCUUCGUCCGCACAGAGCUCCUCUUGGCUGCGUUCACGGUGGCCCCAGCAGUCCCAUCACAUCCCUGGCAGGUCCCAGGGUGAGGAGGGUUCAACGACAGAGGUUGGUGCCCUCAGUGCCACGCCUGCCGCACGCUCGGUGCUGCACACCCGCCAGGCUGCCUCUCCCCAUCGCUGGCCAUUGGGAAGAGUGGGCUGUGUCAGCCGCAAAGGCUCCAAGGUCUGGGUGAGGGAAGUGGUGGGUCCCUGCCCCUACAGACUCCAUGAUUCAAAAGUUCUCUCACAAGGGCAGCCUCCUGCCUUGCCCGUUCCCUUCUGCUGUCGGGCAUCUCAGAGGCACGAAGGCCUCUUUGUACGACACGCAUCAGCACACUUGUUCUCUCGCGCACGGGGCCUCCGUGCGGCCAGUGGCCGGCUGUUGUUCAGUGCGAGGGCCUCUCGGGUUGGAAAGACUGAAAGCUUCCACAUGGAAGUCUCUGUCCUGGGUAUACUUAAAGGGCCAGUGGAGAGGACUGUUUCCAUAAGACACGUCCAACCCCAGCGCACAGCCCAGAGAUGCUGCCUGACGAGAGAUGCCGAACCUGAACCCCGCUGGGACACGUCUCUGUUCUUCACAUAGAAGCCCCGUGUCCCUCCCUCCUGCACCCGCCAAGGCCCUUUCUUCAGAAUGCUGUCGCCAGCACCUGCUCGUUCUGACCCUGAAAGUCAAAAGCUGCCCAAGUUCGGGGACCCCUCCCCCCAAGUCCCCUUUAGCUGUGAAUUCCUGCACGAGGGAGGGCCCGAUCACACACAA